rnacentral:rRNA from 1 species
AUUAUGGCUCAGGAUGAACGCUAGCUACAGGCUUAACACAUGCAAGUCGAGGGGCAGCAUGUUGGUUGCUUGCAACCAAUGAUGGCGACCGGCGCACGGGUGAGUAACGCGUAUCCAACCUUCCCCUUAGUAGAGGAUAGCCCGGCGAAAGUCGGAUUAAUACUCUAUGUUCUUCAAUGCGGACAUCUAAGUUGAAGCAAAGAUUUAUCGCUAAGGGAUGGGGAUGCGUCUGAUUAGGUUGCAGGCGGGGUAACGGCCCACCUGGCCUACGAUCAGUAGGGGUUCUGAGAGGAAGGUCCCCCACACUGGUACUGAGACACGGACCAGACUCCUACGGGAGGCAGCAGUGAGGAAUAUUGGUCAAUGGGCGCGAGCCUGAACCAGCCAAGUAGCGUGCAAGGACGACUGCCCUAUGGGUUGUAAACUGCUUUUAUCAGGGAAUAAAGUGAGGCACGCGUGCCUUUUUGUAUGUACCUGAUGAAUAAGGACCGGCUAAUUCCGUGCCAGCAGCGGC